rnacentral:rRNA from 1 species
GUCACGCUGUAAACGAUGUCGAUUUGGAGUUUGUUGCCUAGAGUGAUGGGCUCCGAAGCUAACGCGAUAAAUCGACCGCCUGGGGAGUACGGCCGCAAGGUUAAAACUCAAAUGAAUUGACGGGGGCCCGCACAAGCGGUGGAGCAUGUGGUUUAAUUUGAUGCAACGCGAAGAACCUUACCUGGUCUUGACAUCCAUAGAAUUCUGCAGAGAUGUGGGGGUGCCUUCGGGAACUAUGAGACAGGUGCUGCGUGGCUGUCGUCAGCUCGUGUUGUGAAAUGUUGGGUUAAGUCCCGCAACGAGCGCAACCCUUAUUCUUUGUUGCCAGCGAUUUGGUCGGGAACUCAAAGGAGACUGCCGUUGAUAAAGCGGAGGAAGGUGGGGACGACGUCAAGUCAUCAUGGCCCUUACGACCAGGGCUACACACGUGCUACAAUGGCGUAUACAAAGGGAAGCGAAGGUGCGAGCUGGAGCGGAUCUCAUAAAGUACGUCUAAGUUCGGAUUGGAGUCUGCAACUCGACUCCAUGAAGUCGGAAUCGCUAGUAAUCGUAGAUCAGAAUGCUACGGUGAAUACGUUCCCGGGCCUUGUACACACCGCCCGUCACACCAUGGGAGUGGGUUGCACCAGAAGUAGAUAGCUUAACCGCGAGGGGGGCGUUUACCACGGUGUGAUUCAUGACUGGGGUGAAGUCGUAACAAGGUAACCA